GUCUCUUCAGACCGGCGCUCGACUUGAUUGGAGACGAAGCUUGCAGCUGCUUUCUCUGACGUAUUUCCUUCAACUGGGAGAGUCAGUUUGGGUGAUUUUACAGAAAGUACCGAAAAAAUAGAAGAGAGACAUGUGGUUCUUACACAAUACAGUGCAAGAGCUCUUUUCUGUUAACUAUUUGGGUAGCCAAGUGGUGACUAGAAAGAAGAUCCUCUUCAACAUGUGAACUGUGCACCUCAUGCACAAAGCCAGUUAUCAUUUUAAUACCAGCAAGAUAGCCGCCCCUUUAUCUGAUUUAACUCACAAAAGAACGACUGAGAAGAUCCAAUG